CCUACGGGGCGCACCAGUGGGGAAUAUUGGACAAUGGGCGAAAGCCUGAUCCAGCAAUGCCGCGUGUAUGAAGAAGGUCUUCGGAUUGUAAAGCACUUUCGACGGGGACGAUGAUGACGGUACCCGUAGAAGAAGCCCCGGCUAACUUCGUGCCAGCAGCCGCGGUAAUACGAAGGGGGCUAGCGUUGCUCGGAAUGACUGGGCGUAAAGGGCGCGUAGGCGGUUUAUGCAGUCAGAUGUGAAAUCCCCGGGCUUAACCUGGGAGCUGCAUUUGAGACGCAUAGACUAGAGGUCGAGAGAGGGUUGUGGAAUUCCCAGUGUAGAGGUGUAAUUCGUAGAUAUUGGGAAGAACACCGGUGGCGAAGGCGGCAACCUGGCUCGAUACUGACGCUGAGGCGCGAAAGCGUGGGGAGCAAACAGGAUUAGAUACCCUAGUAGUC
rnacentral:rRNA from 1 species